GAUGAACGCUGGCGGCGUGCUUAACACAUGCAAGUCGAACGGAGUUUACAUGUGAGCGGAGGGUGCUUGCAUCUAACAAUCUUUUGUAAACUUAGUGGCGGACGGGUGAGUAACACGUGGGUUACCUGCCUCCAAGAUGGGGAUAACAGUUGGAAACGACUGAUAAUACCGAAUGUGCUCUACGGAGUAAAGAAGCCCUUAAAGCUUCGCUUGGAGAUGGGCCUGCGGCGCAUUAGCUAGUUGGUGAGAUAACGGCCCACCAAGGCGACGAUGCGUAGCCGAACUGAGAGGUUGAUCGGCCACAUUGGGACUGAGACACGGCCCAGACUCCUACGGGAGGCAGCAGUGGGGAAUAUUGCGCAAUGGGGGCAACCCUGACGCAGCAACGCCGCGUGAAGGAUGAAGGUCUUCGGAUUGUAAACUUCUGUCUUCAGGGACGAAAAAGGACGGUACCUGAGGAGGAAGCCACGGCUAACUACGUG
rnacentral:rRNA from 1 species